rnacentral:rRNA from 1 species
UACGGAGGGGGCUAGCGUUGUUCGGAAUUACUGGGCGUAAAGCGUGCGCAGACGGUUGCGUAAGUCAGAUGUGAAAGCCCCGGGCUCAACCUGGGAAUGGCAGUGGAUACUGGUAAGCUAGAGUGCGGUAGAGGGGUGUGGAAUUCCCGGUGUAGCGGUGAAAUGCGUAGAGAUCGGGAGGAACACCAGUGGCGAAGGCGGCACCCUGGACCAGCACUGACACUGAGGCACGAAAGCGUGGGGAGCAAACAGG